UGUCAAAAUAGCACAAAUGACAUUACAUUAUCGCUUGCAGAUAGAAAGAGUUUAUUAAUUUCCAGUUCUGAUCUAAUCGAAACCGGUAACGGGUACAAUUUUCUUUCCAACGUUGGACGAAAUGGAUGUGAGGUUGAAAAUGAAAGACGGGCUGAUAAUGAACCAAAUCGGCCAGAUUUUAAAACGGAUAUCUACUGAUUUUGAAGCAAUUCGUAAAAAAAGAUUCGACAAGAAAAGUCUAGUUAAAUUCAAAAAACUAGUAUCAGAUAGUUCAAAAUUAUUAUACUGGCCUUUAGAUGCUCUGACAGAACUGUCUUUUCUUUUCCUAAUAUAUAUUACCAAGUGAAAAGAGAAAUUCUGUACUGAAUAAUUAUCGAUGUAUUGAAAUGGCGAUCCAUGACUAUAUGGUUAAAUCACAUUUUUAGCUUUCCACUGGCUUUACAUAAAAGCUGUGGAAAAGGGAAAAAGAAAAUCAAGCCAGCAUCUGGACCAAAUCGCAGACAAUGAAAAUGUGGCGAGUAGUUCUGUUGAAUACAGUUUGUGGAUAGCAUCCUGCAGUUUUUCUUGUACAACAUGUUUUAUUUAAGUUUUGUAACCCUCAUUUAGAAAUAAGUUCUUGAAACAUAUUACAUGAAAUUUGAUUUAUUCCUGUAUUUCAAUAUUUGUAAACUGUGAGCAAAUUCUACACAUAUGUAUUAAUAAAAUUAGAAUUUUGACAGCAUAGAACAGUAAUUUUAAUAUAAUAACGGAAAUACAUACAGUUCACUCCCGAGCAUCCGGUUCGCGACUAUCCGGCCUAGUUUUCUUUUAUCGCAAUUAAAUGAAGAAGACAAGGCGUUGCGUUGGCAACAUUGCCAAGGCAUUGAGAGCAGGCGUCUGCUACAAUCCUCCUGUGUGUCGUGUGCAAAAUACAGGAAAAGAGCAGCGUUCUGCUCGUUGUUCAUUGUCUCUUCAGUGUGUAAUGGACCUCAGUUGUUGCCAUUGUUCCUGAUUAUAACUGCAUAGUACGUACAGUAUUCAUAAAUUGUGUUUGGAGUAUACUUUAUGUUUUUUUAAAUGAUCCAAAUGAAGAUUAAAGAAUUUAGGUUAUAUGUGAACAGUUCAUAUUUUUUAGCUUACUUUUUCUCUAAUAAAUUUUUGAAACAUACAGUGUAGUAGGUAAACAUACAUAAACUACCAAUACAGAGCCUUACAUUUUAACUCGACACGUUACUGGCAUCUGCUUCUAUGAUUCACCAGGCCAUGACGAAGUUCACAUUCUGCGUGGCUUGAGACUAAUGGAGGGCUUAUUAAUUAGAAGUGAGAAAAUGGGUAUUAUAACAGUGAAUUUUGGUUUAAAAACUUUGUCUUCUGGUAUUGGUGGGCAAAGAAAUGAGUUCAAAGAACUAAAGCUUAAAGCGUUUUUACUAUCCGGCCUGUCCUUUAGCCACAUAAGGCCGAAUACUCGAGAGUCUACUGUCUACUGAUAAUAAA